GGCCUCCUGGGCGGGCUGUUGGGGGCCUAGUGGAGAUGCUCUUAUCCCCCGACCCCUAGGAUCGCCGCACCCGCCACACCACCACCACCACCACCGCCGCACCAGCCAUUCACGCCGCGAGAGACGCGAGCGGGGCUCCUCCUCCAGCCCGAUGGCGUCUGAGGCCAGGUCCGGGGGCGUGCGGCGGAUUCCGCUGCAGCCGAGGGACGGCUACGCCGCGGCCUCCCUGUCCUUGGGUGGCACCGCCCUUGCCAAAUCGAAGGCGAAGGCACCGGCGGCUGCCGCGUCGCCGCCGUCGGUGAGGUCGUAUGCUGCCAGGGCUGACGCGGUGAGCAGGGCGCGGCGGUGGUGAGGGAGAAGGAGGUGUCGCUGGCAGAGGAGCUAGAGAAGGUGCGGGAGCGGCGGGGACGGGUCGUGGUGGAGCUGAUGCGCCUCAUCGAGAUGCCGUAGGUAUGGUUGUUGUCCACUGAGAACCGCCACGUCUUCCCUCUGUUUCGAUUCCGUUUGGUAGUUGUUCUGGCGCUCGGUUCUGAAUGUCAAUGGUGAUUUAGUUCUAGGUCUUUUCCCCAAAUCCUAAUUCCCGUUCUCGGCUGCUAUCCUGCUAUUCCGACGAGUGUUCUGACUUCUCUGAUGAUGUGCAGAUUUUGAUUGCCUUGUGAACUUGAUUCAGAUUAUCAGAUGUUAAGUCAGUCAACCAUGUGUUUGCGUGCCAUGUAAAUUUCCAUCGCCAUGGGGUUAACCUGUUUCUACAAAUUAAAGUAACUUGAUUAAGGUGUUAAAUCUGUCAAGCGGUCAGUCACAGUACUGAGCAGUCAACCAUGUCCUGAUUUAGAGAAGUAACAUUUUUUUUGAAAUAGAAGAACAUGCAGUCCUUUUACAAAUGAAAGAGAGGCAAAGAAAGUGUUGAACAAGAACAACUAUCAGCACAACAUGUUGUGAGUUGCACAUCCUUUUUUGCAUUCAUUUUGAAAAAUGACCCCUUCUUAGUUGCUUGUCACGCUCGGCCACUGGUUGCAGGUCUAUGUUCUGGUGGAAUCGUUGAUUUCUAAGGAGGAGAGGAAGAGAAUACAGGGGACUGCGUCCUCAGAUUCUCAGGGUCCGGUCAUAGUGGCUUCAAGCUUUAUUUUUAACCUUCUUGUAGUAAUGGAUAAUUACAAGAACAUUCCUCAAUUCCUCUAUGGCUUAAGCCCAUCUCAGAUGGAAAUGUCUAAAACUGACGACAACCCUUAUAAUCGGCAGUCAAGGAAAGUUACAGAGAAAUCUUGGAUUCAUAAAUGGGAGAAGCACAUAAGGGAGAAGAAGAUGAUUGCAAGGAUGGAGAGGGAGUAAAUCAUUUGGAGGGAUAGAAUGCCACUGUUUGGUGUUUUUAUGCAUUUUUGUUUGCUUUCAACUGUGUUUGCACUAGCUGGGAAUAAGUGACUAGGCAAUAAGUGUAGAUGUAUGGAUAUGCUCUAAUGCUCCUGGUUUACUAUAAAUCUUCGAUUUGGAAUGAUGUGUAAUGGUGUGUAAUGCUGCUGGUUUUCUAACGGUUGGGCAUGAUGGAUGUUGCAGGUUCAUUGAUGACGGCCAAGGGUUCAUGCUCGGAAAGGACGACAUCUUGCUCCAUGUUGUCGGCUCAGCUAAAGUCCUUAAUCAUGAGGAGAUGGGACACGUCGAUUGUUAGAGUACACUUGACAGAGGUGAUCGACGCUGACUAGCACGGCCCGGUGGCGCUGUGCUCUUCAACCACUCGGAGACGGACUUCGCCGUGAAGCCUUGUUCCCACGUCGCACAGAUGAUCGUCCAGGUGAUUUCGACACCGGAGGUCGCUGAGGUGGAGGACCUUGACGCCACCGUCCGGGGGAGGGAGGAUUCGAGUCCACCAACGUCUGAACUCCGAGCCUAGGUAGAUACAUCUAGAGAAGUGGUCUGUUUAGGUUGGUGGUAGACCACUAGGGAAGGUACCCACCUUACGAUGAUGGUUGUGUGUGUCUGAUGUUAAAUGGAAUCUUGAGAUGGUUUUGUGACAUGUUAAAUGGAAUAUUGAGAUGGUUCAGUGACA